rnacentral:rRNA from 1 species
CCUACGGGGGGCAGCAGUGAGGAAUAUUGGUCAAUGGACGAGAGUCUGAACCAGCCAAGUAGCGUGAAGGAUGACAGCCCUAUGGGUUGUAAACUUCUUUUAUAUGGGAAUAAAACGUUCCACGUGUGGGAUUUUGUAUGUACCAUAUGAAUAAGGAUCGGCUAACUCCGUGCCAGCAGCCGCGGUAAUACGGAGGAUCCGAGCGUUAUCCGGAUUUAUUGGGUUUAAAGGGAGCGUAGGUGGAUUGUUAAGUCAGUUGUGAAAGUUUGCGGCUCAACCGUAAAAUUGCAGUUGAAACUGGCAGUCUUGAGUACAGUAGAGGUGGGCGGAAUUCGUGGUGUAGCGGUGAAAUGCUUAGAUAUCACGAAGAACUCCGAUUGCGAAGGCAGUUCACUGGACUGCAACUGACACUGAGGCUCGAAAGUGUGGGUAUCAAACAGGAUUAGAUACCCUUGUAGUC